rnacentral:tRNA from 1 species
AGGGUAGUGGCUCAGCGGUAGAGUGCAUGCUUAGCAUGCAUGAGGUCCUGGGUUCAAUCCCCAGUACCUCCA